UACAGAGGUCUCGAGCGUUGUUCGGAUUCAUUGGGCGUAAAGGGUGCGUAGGUGGCGCUGUAAGUCGGGUGUGAAAUCCUGAGGCUUAACCUGGGAACUGCAUCUGAUACUGGAUGGCUUGAAUCCGGGAGAGGGAUGCAGAAUUCCAGGUGUAGCGGUGAAAUGCGUAGAUAUCUGGAGGAACACCGGUGGCGAAGGCGGCGUCCUGGACCAACACUGACACUGAGGAGCGAAAGCCAGGGGAGCAAACGGG
rnacentral:rRNA from 1 species